UAACGGAGGGUGCGGAGCGUUAUCCGGAAUCACUGGGUUAAGGGUGCGUAGGCGGUCUGAUAAGUCAGUUGUGGAAAUUCCUCGGCUUAACCGAGUGGACUGCGAUUGAUACUGUCAGACUUGAAUCAGGUUGAGGUAGGCGGAAUGUGACAUGUAGCGGAUGAAAUGCUUAGAUAUGUCAUAGAACACCGAUUGCGAAGGCAGCUUGCUGGGCUUAGAUUGACGCUGAGGCACGAAAGCGUGGGGAGCAAACAGG
rnacentral:rRNA from 1 species